rnacentral:misc_RNA from 3 species
AUUUCCCCAAUGGGUUCUCCGGAUUUCUGGAGACUUGUAGGGGUUGUGGGAUUUUUGAUGUGUCGUCUCCGGACGGGCGGUGCAGGGUAGUCGAGUUAGACUUGGUGGAAUUCCGUCGAUAGGAGUUCCGUCGAGUCUGGUCGGCUGUGUGUUGGACGAUGCAGGGUAGGCUGCUUGGACAUGGUCGGUUCGAGGAUCGAUUCGAGGGCCGGCCUGUCGAUGAUGUGUGAUGUAUGCGGUCUAGGGUAGGCUGGUUUGUCUUGGUUCAAUUUGAUGUCGGCUCCCGUGCAGGCCAGAGUGAAGGGGGUCCAGGGUAGGUACAGGGUAGGCAGCUUAGAUUUGGUCGAUCUGGAGGUCGAUUCUCCGGCUGGCGGAUCUGACACUGUCGAAACGAGAUGCGAGCGGUGUAGGGUAGGCUAGUUUCGUCCUCGCCAGGUUGCGAUUUGGACGAGAUAUGUGGUUUAGGGUAGGCUCUAGGGUAAGUAGAAUUCGAGUUUCGUCGCCGACAGUUUUCUGUGGGUGUAUGGUAGGUACAGGGUAGGCAAAUCUCUCUCCGGCCAGUACUUGUCUGGUGGUCGUGAGUCGAUUUUUUUGUUUU